AGCAUAUAAUUAAGCGGAGGAAAAGAAACUAACCAGGAUUCCCUCAGUAAGGGCGACUGAAGCGGGAAUAGCUCACCAUGUGAAUCUGCGCCGUCUGGCGCCGAAUUGUGGUCUGGAGACACUGGCGCUAUCGGGCCGGGCCAAGUCCCUUGGAACAGGGCAGCUGAGAGGGUGAGACUCCCGUCCGCCUGGUCCACGGAGCGAGUGUCGACGAGUCGAGUUGUUUGGGAUUGCAGCUCCAAGUGGGUGGUAAAUUCCAUCGAAAGCUAAAUAUGGGUGGGAGACCGAUAGCGUACAAGUACCGUGAGGGAAAGAUGCAAAGAACUUUGAAAAGAGAGUUAAAGAGUACCUGAAAUUGCUGAAACGGAAGCGAAGGAAACCAGUGCCAGCUGCCUCAUACUUCCCCCUCCGCUUGCGGGUGGGGCGCUGUGAUCAGCGUUGUCAGCCCUGGCUCGAUCGUCCGGAGUGCCUCCCGGGGAGUUUUGACCCGGGACAGGUUGCGGACGGUGGGGCUGGGAUUCUUGGCUGACGAAAUGGUUUUCUUUCCCCCGUCUUGAAAC
rnacentral:rRNA from 1 species